GGCAAGAUGGCCGAGCGGUCUAAGGCGCUGUGUUCAGGUUCACUUCUGAGUAUCGCAGUCCGAAAGGGCGUGGGUUCGAAUCCCACUCUUGUCA
rnacentral:tRNA from 2 species